UUUCUAUUGGAGAGUUUGAUCCUGGCUCAGGACGAACGCUGGCGGCGUGCCUAAUACAUGCAAGUCGAGCGGACCGAAU
rnacentral:rRNA from 1 species